UACGGGAGGCAGCAGUGGGGAAUAUUGCACAAUGGGCGCAAGCCUGAUGCAGCCAUGCCGCGUGUAUGAAGAAGGCCUUCGGGUUGUAAAGUACUUUCAGCGGGGAGGAAGGCGGUGAAGUUAAUAGCUUCACCGAUUGACGUUACCCGCAGAAGAAGCACCGGCUAACUCCGUGCCAGCAGCCGCGGUAAUACGGAGGGUGCAAGCGUUAAUCGGAAUUACUGGGCGUAAAAGCGCACGCAGGCGGUCUGUCAAGUCGGAUGUGAAAUCCCCGGGCUUAACCUGGGAACUGCAUUCGAACUGGCAGGCUAGAGUCUGUAGAGGGGGUAGAAUUCCAGGUGUAGCGGUGAAAUGCGUAGAGAUCGUGGAGGAAUACCGGGUGGCGAAGGCGGCCCCUGGGACAAAGCUGACGCUCAGGUGCGAAAGCGUGGGGAGCAAACGAGGAUUAGGAU
rnacentral:rRNA from 1 species